GUGGGCGGCAACCCGACAUGUUUUAACAAUCAGAUGACUGAGGCGCUGUGAAAACGGCAGUUCACCCUCAAGGAGCAAACAUGUCUUUGCAAAGACUGAUGGUCUAUUUGUCGACAACAUGCAUGUUUUGCUAUAUGAUAGGAAUCAAUCUCAUAAUCUUGAUUAUGCAAUAUAUUUCACCAAGUCUCACCAAGAAGAUAAUCCUCAAAAUGGGUGAAAAGACCACCAUGACUCAGAAUCCCAACUUUAAGUAUGAAGAUUGGGGUCAGACGUUUGGCUCUGUAAACUUCUUUAAAACCGUCUCUCAACACCUGUGGUUGUCUCUCGGACAAGAGGCGUUUUUGGGAGGAGACGCUCCAGACACACCUGUGGUCAACAUGGAGGGAAAGAACACAAGUGUUUACAAGUACUUGAAAGAUACCAGGCCGCUGGUGUUGAGUUUUGGAAGUUGCACCUGACCCCCGUUUAUGUACAAACUUGAGGAGUUCAAGCAACUCGUCAAGGACUUCAGCGAUGUAGCUGACUUUCUUGUGAUCUACAUCGCCGAGGCACAUUCAACAGGUGAGAGAAAGACGGUUGGGCCUUUACCAACAACUUUGACAUCAACCAGCACCAGAGCCUGGAGGACAGGCUGUCUGCAGCACAGAUCUUGGUUCAAAAGGAGCCCCAGUGUCCCGUGGUUGUGGAUGAAAUGAAUAAUGUCUCUGCCAUAAAGUAUGGUGCUCUGCCUGAGAGACUUUAUGUGCUGCAGGCUGGGAAAGUUGUCUACAAGGGGGGCAUGGGGCCUAUGGGCUACCAUCCUAUGGAGGUGCGUUUGUUACUAGAGAAGAUGAAAUAAGGUUGAUUCAAGUCAAGACAUGUCUUCGCCAUCCGACCAGUCUGAUGUACUGUAUAUGUAGGUGUGUGUCUUUUUGUUCAGCAUGGGAUGGGGUUGUCAGCAUCGUAACCAACAUAUAUGACUGAUUUAACACCGUUUUUUGUUUGUUUGUUUUUUUCAAGGCUCAAAUCAAUUGACUGCCACAUCUACAUGUAGUUCUAAAUCUGCUCUCUGGCAUCAACCAUUGCACUAGUAGAAAUAUUAUGACCCCUCAAAACUUGCACUAGUAAUUGCUUCCAGGCUCUCCUGUACUCAAGAACUUGCCUCUCAGUGUUUCUUAAUGACGGCUGCAGUUUAAACCGUUGAUUUCUGUAGCCAGAUAAAGUGAGACACACAGAUACAGUCCAGGCAAGAGUUUGUGUUUGAGGUAUCACAUGGUGUACAGUAGAUGUCUCCUAAUUCCAAAGUUUAAAAGACCUUAAGAUUUAAAUGUCCCAUAUUGAAAACAAUCUUUUUUUAUUAUUAUUAUUAUAAAGCAGGUUAAGGUGCUAUAUAAAUACUGUGAAAGUAUCAAUGUUCAAUCCAAAGUGGAAUGCACACAGCCCAUAUUCAGAAAUGGUGCCUUUAAACAGAUGUCACUGGAGUUGUAUCUUAUAUGAUGAUGUGACAUAGAAAAUUGAUUGGCUGAUUGCUCCAAGAUGAUUCACAGAAGACUGCUUUUUAUAUGAUGAUUACAGUGCAAACCUCUGGUAACUGUAAUUUGAUGGAUUACUCAAAGGAAGACCUUCUCUGAAUUAUGUAGGAGCAUUUGUGAUUAGACACAUUCAAUGUAUAUAACCAUCUGCAUUUCCUUUGAAUGUUCUUAUAUCACAAAAAAAUGUAUUUCUUUUGAAUGUUGCAUUGUAGUAUAAUAAAGAAUAACCUGGGAAGAC